AAAUUGUACAAAAAGUACAUAAUAAUGAUAAUAAUAACACCAAACCCACCCUAUCCUCACACUCUAACCUUACUCUUCUCCCCUCCAUUUGCAAAUGCAAGAAAAUCAAAAUUUAAAUCUUCAAAGAUCCCAUUUGCAAAAGCAAGAAAAUCAAAACUCAAAUCUUGAAAACUCCAACCUCCUUAGCCGCUCCACGCCUGACUUUUCUUUUUCAUCCGACCGACAUAGCAUCUGGAACAAGUGAAGUGACUGUUGAAAUCUCUAUUUUUUUCUCACAUUUUCAAUCUUCAUCUAUCGAUUUCUAAUUUGUAGCAUAUGGAAUUGUGACACCAAGCUAUUGCCAUAUCCUGAAUUUGACCAUUGUCUUCUUCUUUUCUCUGUGUCUCUUUUUGUUUUCUAUUUUUAUUAAUCGUUCAUAUUGAAGAGGAGAUAGAUGAAAAGGAAGUAUCCGGCAAGUAUGCUUUUAUUGAUUAUUUGAGUUUGUGUUUCUGUUGUUAGACUGUUAGUUAAAUUGAUAUUGUUUCGACUUUUAAUUUCAUAAAUUAGUCAUAUAAGUUGGUUUUUAAGUAUUAUAUAUAGUGUUCAAUUAUUUAUCUUUUUUUCUUCCAUUAAUUGGGUUCUUUUUGAAAGCUAUUGUUCCCUUAAACAUCUGAUCCAUGUUAGCAUGUGGAGAGUAUAUUUGAAGUUCAUAUGGAAGUCUUCUAUCUAGGAAAUCUAUCAUUCUCGACAAAUAGUUUCUAAAAUUCUUGACAGUUUCACUAGUUUCUCGAAAGUUAUAAUGCAAUGCCAAACUUGUUUCAAAUGCUUCACUAGGUGUCGUACGAAUUAAAUGCAUGUUAUAUCAUUAUCUAACCAUUGGAAUUUGUUCAUGUUAAUAGUUUCGCAUAUGGAUUUCGAGUUUGUUUUGUCUAAAGGCGAAUGUAUACAUGGAUGAUGUACGAUGUAUUUUCCUAAUGAAAGGGCUGCACCGGUUCCCUCAAUUGCCACUGAUGCAGUUGAAAAUGAAAAAGUGGUGGUGACGAAAAAAUGACGCUCGAUGCACAUUGGAACAUUAUCAAUGUUAAAUCGGACUAUGCACACUAGGAGUGGUAGGAAGAGAGGAAAUAACAUAAAAUAAUAUGUUUUUUUGAUUGGGAAAAAAUGUGUACCAUUUUUUUGAACUUGGAAUUUGUCAUGUUUUGAAAUUUUUUACAUUUAUGUUUGUUUUCAUAUUUAUUUGAAAAAUUAUUUAGGUCUAUUGUCAUGUAUGUUUAGUUUAUGUUAUUUUACUCAAAUAUAGUGUUAUUGUGAACGAUGUUGAUUGAGCAUAUAUUUGAUACUUUCAAGUAGAGAUUGAUGGACAGU
rnacentral:lncRNA from 1 species